AGACUCUCUGUCCAGAAGAAGCCCAGAUUUCUUCCCGCCAAGACCUGAGGAAGAUAAGGACAUCAACAUGAAACAAGACCUAUCUGAAGAGAUGUCCAUCGACGAAAAAGCAGACUAUUGUGAUGGUGCGCAAUCAAAGGAAACUUAAGUACCUUAAGACAGUGUGGACUUGCUGGAAUUCAAGGUGUAGUCUUAAAAAAUGAAUGAAGUUCUGAGUGACAUAAGUGGAUAAUUUUUAAAAAUCAUUGUGGUACAGACCUGCAGUAGGAGUUUAAAUUGAAUGAAUGUCACUAUACACACAUACAAUGACAUUAAAAGCAGCUCCUCCAGUGCACUAGCUCACCCCCUUUAGUUGAUAUUAGCUAAACUUAUAAAUCCCAGUCAGUUUUAUUUCAUCUCAUUCUAUGCUUCUGUUUAUCUUACUAUGUUAAAUGUCUUACUUUGUCACCUUUUGUACAUCUUGCUUGCAAAUUUUAAUAAAAAAUUAAUGCUAUCAG